UGAAGAGCAACAACACUUUAUGAAAAUUGCAAAGUUAAUUUAUCUGUGGUAUUUGCUAACAACAGAACGAUGUAUAACACAUCUUUUGAAAAUCGCAAGCAGAGAUAACACUAAUCCAAAUUUUACGAACCCUGUCCUUUAUUUGCAAUGGAAACAUACAGGCUUGUUAACUCUGUGGGUAGUUAGUGUGCAUCAGUUCUGUUUAAUACUGUUAUCAGCUCUGUGAGGUGGGGGCCAGGAAUUGAGGCUCGGGACGUUCAUUCCUCCUACAGAACCACAUCGCUGGUAAGAGCGGCACUGACGUCAGAGGGGCUGAGAGCUUAGGUUAUCAGGCUGGGAGCACUUUGCUCCAGGGCAGGGCAGGGGUAGUGGGGGUCCAGUUCAGUCUGUUGGUUGCCUACCAUGGUUGCCCCUUUCUCAUGGCCUCCCUCUUCCCACAGGUUCCCAUGGCAUUUGCAGAAAUGCUUAUGGAUCCUGUACAGGUGCAUGGAGGAUGUGACAGUUGGAGGACACCCCAGUUGUCCCCCUGAUGGUUUUGCCACUCCCAUAUAAAGAAUGAUGGUGUCCUGAGAUUGCUCACCUUUUCUCCCUCCCUUGGGUCUAAAGUCCCUGUGGUCUCAUCAAAGCCCAGGGUCUUGAACUCAUCCCUGGAUUCUAUGGAGCAUUGCCCAUGUGUGACAACCAAUGGGGGGGUUGUGGUUUUUACAGACGUGGCCGUGCGCUUCUCCCAGGAGGAGUGGGGGCUCCUUGAUGAGGCUCAGAGACGCCUGUACCACAGUGUGAUGCUGGAGACCUUUGCACUUUUGUCAUCACUAGGUUGCUGGCAUGGAGCCCGGGACGAGGAGGCCCCUUCAGGGCACAGUGUUUCUGUAGGAGCAUCACAGGUCAGGACUCCAAAGCCAGGCCCGUCCUUCCAGGAGGCCCAGCCCUGUGAGACGUGUAGCUCACUCUUGAAAGACCUUUUGCACUUGGCUGAA